rnacentral:rRNA from 1 species
UGCGUAGGCGGUUCUGUUAGUCGUUUGUCAAAUCUCCGGGCUUAACUCGGGACAAGCGGACGAAACGGCAGAACUUGAGAGUGUGAGGGGUAUAUGGAACUCAUGGUGUAGGAGUGAAAUCCGUUGAUAUCAUGGGGAACACCAAAAGCGAAGGCAAUAUACUGGCACACAUCUGACGCUCAAGCACGAAAGCGUGGGUAGCGAAUG